GGCUGGCGGGAGGGGGGCUCCACGGAGCUCCAGCCAGGGCCGCGGUUCGCCUGCACGUCACGGCUACUCAAACCCAAGCACGUCCCGAAAGCGGUAUUUUCUGCGUCUGGGAGGUUUUUGCAUCCUCAGUUCCCACCGCUGGGGCUGGCGGCGACCAACUCGCAGACCUGUCGCAGCCAGAGAGCUGUCAUUUCAGUACCGGGAUUCAGAAUUGAUCCAGUCCGCAGCGGAGGGGGCACAUCCCAGCUACCGAGCUGCUGAGUGUCUCUGGCUGGAACAAUAGUAUUUUUUUCUCUGCGAGGCUGCAAUUAACAUCUUAUUUGUUCUGGCUCCAUACAGGCUUUGUCAGGAUCGCGGUGCGGCGACCGACGUUGGGCUCUUGCAUUGCUUUGUGCUUGGCAAUGGAAUCAUGGUUUCGGGAUAGUCAUUUUGCCUCCUGGACAGUUGGCUGACGAAGUGUCUGAUAAACCAGCUUCAGAUACAUGCUACAAAAGGCUACUGAGCUGGCCUGAUGAUGAUCCUUCUGAGAUAUAUUUAUAGCAGAUGAUUUGUGGAUGAUAACUACGCCAAGCAAGACACUGUCUCCAGUAACCCCAGGCUCGUCUGACUUCCUCAGGGGAUUAUAAUAAAGAAUCACAAAAAGAACCCUAUAUGGACAGUCUGGUCUCUGGACACUAACAACAGCACAAUCCAAAGGCAAAGAAAGGAGGAACCACCUUGUUUCAUGUCUGCAAGCUGCUCCAUAUGAAAGCAUUGCUGACAUGUUGACCCAACAGCAAAAAGAGAGCAGCAGUUUACACACCCUCAGCUCUCUGUCCUUUCCUUUCUAUUGAUGUUGGUCCACUUUUAUGACUGAAUACAUAUUAAAAUCACCAUUUCAAAUUAUAA
rnacentral:lncRNA from 1 species